rnacentral:rRNA from 1 species
GAUGAACGCUAGCGGCAGGCUUAAUACAUGCAAGUCGAGGGGCAUCAAGGUACACGAAAGUGUAUUGUUGGCGACCGGCGGACGGGUGAGUAAUAGGUAGGUAACCUACCUCAUACUGAGGCAUAGCUGGGAGAAAUUCCAGGUAAUUCCUCAUGAGGUUAUAUGACACAUGUGAUAUAAUCAAAGGUAUCGCAAGGUACUGGUAUGAGAUGGGCUUACUGACCAUUAGCUAGUUGGUGAGAUAAGAGCUCACCAAGGCGAAGAUGGUUAGGGGUUUGAGAGAGAGAUCCCCCACAUUGGAACUGAGAUACGGUCCAGACUCCUACGGGAGGCAGCAGUAGGGAAUAUUGGGCAAUGGGCGGAAGCCUGACCCAGCCAUGCCGCGUGAAGGAAGACGGCCUUAUGGGUUGUAAACUUCUUUACUAUGCGACUAACUAGAUUUACGAGAUAAUUCUAUAGAAUGUAGCAUAGCAAAAAGCACCGGA